AACUAAAAUAACUAUGUAGAUAGUGAAGAACUAACCUUAUUACCACCAAAUAACUCACCCUUUCCAAAAAUUUGAAUGCAAGCAUUAAUUUGCUCUCCUUCACUUCAAAACCACCUUGUCUAUUUGAUGAUUUAAGCUCUUAAGCUCAUAAAUUUGUAAAGAAAUGAAGUCUUUCACUUGAUAGUGGAGAAAAUUGAGAGAAAAUGCCUAGAGAGUGUAGAAGCUGCAUGAAUAAAGCCAACACUAUCUUUGCCCUAAAAAGAGAAAAAAAAAAAAAAAA
rnacentral:misc_RNA from 1 species